GACGAACGCUGGCGGCGUGCUUAACACAUGCAAGUCGAGCGGUAAGGCCCUUUCGGGGGUACACGAGCGGCGAACGGGUGAGUAACACGUGGGUGACCUGCCCUUAGCUCUGGGAUAAGCCUGGGAAACUGGGUCUAAUACCGGAUAUGACUCCAUGACGCAUGUUGUGGGGUGGAAAGCCUUGUGCGGCUAGGGAUGGGCCCGCGGCCUAUCAGCUUGUUGGUGGGGUGAUGGCCUACCAAGGCGACGACGGGUAGCCGGCCUGAGAGGGCGACCGGCCACACUGGGACUGAGACACGGGCCCAGACUCCUACGGGAGGCAGCAGUGGGGAAUCUUGCGCAAUGGGCGAAAGCCUGACGCAGCGACGCCGCGUGGGGAUGACGGCC
rnacentral:rRNA from 1 species